rnacentral:rRNA from 1 species
GCCGUCAAUUCCUUUGAGUUUAACCUUGCGGCCGUACUCCCCAGGCGGUCGACUUAUCGCGUUAGCUGCGCCACUAAGAUCUCAAGGAUCCCAACGGCUAGUCGACAUCGUUUACGGCGUGGACUACCAGGGUAUCUAAUCCUGUUUGCUCCCCACGCUUUCGCACCUCAGUGUCAGUAUCAGUCCAGGUGGUCGCCUUCGCCACUGGUGUUCCUUCCUAUAUCUACGCAUUUCACCGCUACACAGGAAAUUCCACCACCCUCUACCGUACUCUAGCUCAGUAGUUUUGGAUGCAGUUCCCAGGUUGAGCCCGGGGAUUUCACAUCCAACUUGCUGAACCACCUACGCGCGCUUUACGCCCAGUAAUUCCGAUUAACGCUUGCACCCUUCGUAUUACCGCGGCUGCUGGCACGAAGUUAGCCGGUGCUUAUUCUGUUGGUAACGUCAAAACAGCAAGGUAUUAACUUACUGCCCUUCCUCCCAACUUAAAGUGCUUUACAAUCCGAAGACCUUCUUCACACACGCGGCAUGGCUGGAUCAGGCUUUCGCCCAUUGUCCAAUAUUCCCCACUGCUGCCUCCCGUAGGAGUCUGGACCGUGUCUCAGUUCCAGUGUGACUGAUCAUCCUCUCAGACCAGUUACGGAUCGUCGCCUUGGUAGGCCUUUACCCCACCAACUAGCUAAUCCGACCUAGGCUCAUCUGAUAGCGUGAGGUCCGAAGAUCCCCCACUUUCUCCCUCAGGACGUAUGCGGUAUUAGCGCCCGUUUCCGGACGUUAUCCCCCACUACCAGGCAGAUUCCUAGGCAUUACUCACCCGUCCGCCGCUGAAUCCAGGAGCAAGCUCCCUUCAUCCGCUCGACUUGCAUGUGUUAGGCCUGCCGCCAGCGUUCAAUCUGAGCCAGGAUCAAACCCUC